CCGGAAAUUAUCGCGAGGGCUAGCUGUGGCCUGCUGAGCAUCCAGGAAGAUAGUGAACUCUGAGAGGUGGCACAGUGGUAAAGAGUCUGCCUGCCAAUGCAGGAGACACAAGGGACACGGCUUUGACCUCUGGGUCAGGAAGAUCCCUUGGAGAAGGAAAUGGCAUCCCACUCCAGUAUUCUUACCUGGAAAAUUCCAUGGACGGAGGAGCCUGAAUUCCAUGAAUAGAGGAGCUUGCUGGAUUACAGUCUAUUGGGGUCGCAAAGAGUCAGACACAACUGAAGCAACUGACACUUUAAUCAAUAAAGGUUUCACUCAUGGAGGAACCAAAGCUUAUGGAGGUUGAAUGUUGUAGGCACGUGCAUUGAUCUGGAGAGAAU
ensembl:lncRNA